rnacentral:rRNA from 1 species
UACGUAGGGAGCAAGCGUUAUCCGGAUUUAUUGGGUGUAAAGGGUGCGUAGACGGGAAGGCAAGUUGGUUGUGAAAUCCCUCAGCUUAACUGAGGAACUGCAACCAAAACUAUCUUUCUUGAGUACUGGAGAGGAAAGUGGAAUUCCUAGUGUAGCGGUGAAAUGCGUAGAUAUUAGGAGGAACACCAGUGGCGAAGGCGACUUUCUGGACAGUAACUGACGUUGAGGCACGAAAGUGUGGGGAGCAAAC